rnacentral:rRNA from 1 species
AAAGCGUGCGCGGGCGGUUAUGUAAGACAGUUGUGAAAUCCCCGGGCUCAACCUGGGAACUGCAUCUGUGACUGCAUAGCUAGAGUACGGUAGAGGGGGAUGGAAUUCCGCGUGUAGCAGUGAAAUGCGUAGAUAUGCGGAGGAACACCGAUGGCGAAGGCAAUCCCCUGGACCUGUACUGACGCUCAUGCACGAAAGCGUGGGGAGCAAACAGGAUUAGAUACCCUAGU